AACAAUCAGCCCCUUUUAAAAUAACCUUAGCCCCUUUUUAUUUCCCCAUAAUUUUCUCCUCUCUUGACCGAUUCUCAUCCCCCCAAACCACAAGCUACACAUUCAAGCCUGGAGAAUGAUUUUUCAGCUUUGAAAUCCUCUCUUGGCUUUGAUUCAAACAAAGCAAGAAAGAAAGCUAUGGCGCAUUUGCCAGGUGUGCAUGGUGUGGAGGAGUUAUUUGCGGAGCAUGGCACGAGUGGAAGAAUCGGCUAAAGGCUGUGGUGGCUGAAGCUUCUAGGGUUUCUGCCGAAAAUUCCCUAGGUGUUUUGGCCUUGGGGUAUUUUGGAUUAUUUAGGCUAUUUGGGUUAAGUUUAAUAAUUUGAGCCCAUUUAUUUUGGUUGUUGGGCUAUGUAAGAAAUGGACAUUGGAUUAUUAUUGUUGUUUUAUUUUAUUUUUGGUUUUAGUUUUGGUGUAGGCCCAGGCACAAAUUGGGUCUUAUAAUUAUGAUAUACUAAAUUGAAGAAAAAAGAUAAUUAUGUGAAAAAAUUUAAAAAAAUAAAAUUAUAAGUA